rnacentral:pre_miRNA from 1 species
AGCCUUUUGUAUUUGUGCUCAGAUUUUGUCAGCAAUUAGUCCAUUGGGGUUGAUGUAACUUCCGAAAUAAGUGAAGUG